rnacentral:ribozyme from 2 species
ACUCGACUAAGCGAGUAUAAAAAGGUUUCAAGCUUAGAGCGUUGAUAGGGAUAAAAACCUAUCAGGUAACA